CAGGAGAGGGAGGGGGAGCUGAGGAGUCACACCCCAAAGGGGCAUUCUCCUCCUGUGAGAAUCCCCCAACCCCCAGCUCACCACUGACCCUGAGAAAAGGGUCCCACCUGGAGUUCUCCAGGCUCUUUGUCUGUUUGAUUUGGGUGGGGAGGGCAGGGAAGAGAGCACAGAUGACGACAAAAGAAAAUCAAGCUUCCGCUCUAGGAGCAGGCUUUUGUUUACUGAGCACCUACUGUGCCAGGCCCUGUGCUCAGCUCUUACUGUCGUUAGAUCACCACAACAGCACAAGCUGGGAACAGGCAGGCCCCACACUGUACAGACAGGAAAUGGAGACCAGGCGGGCUGGUGGCUGGCCUGAGCUAGUGAACGACGACUGGGACUCAGCUCAGGUCAGUUUGAUGUCAUAAUCCCCAACCUCUAUCCUUCGACCUAGUCUUUUCCAGAGCCUCAGAGGCACGGGAGCACGGCAUGUAGAGGGUGAGCCUGCUGAAAGGCCCUCGAUGCAGGGAGCACUUGGAGAGAGCCUGUUUCCUCCCUGUCGGCUGCCAUUGCUGUCCCCCUCCUGGGCUGGUGUUCAGUCCCCUCUCCCUCCAGGUGGCUUUCUAAGGAGGCAACCCAAUGCUGAUGUGAGAGGUGUAGGGAUCAGGCCUGACAUAAGUAGGAAACCAAGCAGGGCAGAUAAAAACAGUGUAGCUGCUCAUAAAAUGUCCCUGACCCCAAAGGGUGAUGGUUAAUAACCAAUCAGGUGAAAAUACUGAGCCCCCUCCUCCCAGCCCCCCCCAAAAGAAAGAAAAUACUGAGGCCUUUUUGUACAACAAACUAACCCUGUACCCAGCACUGCCUGGGUAUUUCAUGACGAUUUCUGCACACAUGUCCCUAACCACCUCUGAAGCGAAAGCAAGAAACAGAACUGACAUGCGGCCUCCAAAUCAAUUCCUCCCCACCCCCAUGAGCAGAAAAAGAUCUGGGUUCUCAUUAUCGGAGCAUGAUUAGAGAGCGGCAGAGCAUA